UCCGUGCAUGGUAAGAGGUCGUCCAAUUUUAUGGUGAAAUACUAUAGCUUAUUUAUUUGUAAUCGUAUUCAGUGAUUUUUAAAAAUAAGAAUUAUAAAAUUAUGUAAUUUUAUUAUAGGUAUUAUAAGCAAUCCAAAUCUUGAAAUUGUGGCUUUAAAGAGAUUUCAUGUUAAGGAUGGUCCACAAGUCUCUAGGUCUAAACUUGCUUAAUCAAAGUUAAGGACCCAUUAAUGUAGUGGUUUAGAGUUGAAGUGGGCAUUUCAACGGAAAAAUUCGCGUAUUGACUGUACUGCAUCGAUAAUUUAGUUUGAUUUGGUUAAAUUUGUUGACGUGAGUCUCCUAAUUAAUGAAGGAGAUUUAUUUCCUUGAUUAAUUAAGGGAUUUACUUUCCUAUUUUUUAUAUAAUUGAUAAAUCAUUGUACAAUUAGGAGAUACUUUGCUAAUUCUUUACUGUAUCUAAUUCCUUGUAAAGCUCACAUGUAAAC
rnacentral:lncRNA from 1 species